CGUGUUGCGGAGAAGGAGAGUAGUAUCCGGGGAAACUAUUUCCAAGAGCGAGCUUGUGACGGUGAGAGACAAGCGGAAAAAGCCCGGGGAAGGCGUUCCUGAGCGACGGUGAAAGUGGCUUCCUAUACAUGAAGGGAGCAAUUAGGGUGGAACCGCGGAGACCCCGUCCCUAUG
rnacentral:misc_RNA from 1 species